rnacentral:rRNA from 1 species
AACGAACGCUGGCGGCAGGCCUAACACAUGCAGGUCGAACGCUCGUAGCAAUACGAGAGUGGCAGACGGGUGAGUAACACGUGGGAACCUUCCCUAUGGUUCGGAAUAGCUCAGGGAAACUUGAGGUAAUACCGGAUAAGCCCUUACGGGGAAAGAUUUAUCGCCAUUGGAUGGGCCCGCGUCGGAUUAGCUAGUUGGUGAGGUAACGGCUCACCAAGGCGACGAUCCGUAGCUGGUCUGAGAGGAUGAUCAGCCACACUGGGACUGAGACACGGCCCAGACUCCUACGGGAGGCAGCAGUGGGGAAUAUUGGGACAAUGGGCGCAAGCCUGAUCCAGCCAUGCCGCGUGAGUGACGAAGGCCUUAGGGUUGUAAAGCUCUUUUGGCGGGGUAAGAUAAUGACGGUACCCGCAGAAUAAGCUCCGGGCUAACUUCGUGCCAG